UAUUUGUCAAAAUUAAUUUUAAUUUUUGGCAACAAUUCUCUGACGUUUUCCAACAGAAUUUAUAAUAUUUGAGACAGAAACUUUUGUUUCAAACAAUAAUUAGAAGUGAUUGUGUAAAGAACGAUCCUUCAUAGAAAAUAUAUUUAACGAUUAUGUUGAAACUGAAAUAUGAUUAUUUAUUUGGUAGUAGAAUGAUUUAUUAUCCCGAUAGUAAAAACUAUUACGAUGAUAAUAGAGGAAUGUAUUGGUCUUUGAGACCGUAUUAUUGGAUAAAAGGUUACUGGCCAUCACAUAUGUUCAAUGUAUGGCCUACUGAACACCAUUUGAGAAAAUUAAGGGUUAGAAAUAACAUUUACAGUCUUACGUUAUGAAAAUGAAAAUAUGAAUAAUAUUUUGAUGGUAAUCAAUGUACUAUAAUGCCAAAUAAAAAUUUUUAUUGGUUAAAUUUAUUUCCUAAAGCCACAUCAAUUAAAUAAACUGGUAGAUAUACGUCCCGACUUUUUAAUUUGAUACUCUAAAACCCUUUGUUAUGUUUUUUUCUUUUACUAUUCAGUUUCUGGAGAAGUAAAUAUUCAGUUUUCGUGCUAUUUCUUGGAAGGUCUUUUUAAAGUUGGUUUUUCAUUAUUUGCGCAUUUAGCCGAUCGAUCUUUCAUCAUUCUAUCGCCUCGACCUCAAUUAUCAGAUCAUCUCUUAUAUCUUCACUUUUCAUUUUAUCUCUUAUGCUCAUUUCUUUGAUAUUUUCAUAAACUAUGCCUUCAUCAUGUUCUUCGUUUUUGUUUUUCAUCAGUGAAACCGUCGACGAGCAAUAAAUAUUGUAUAAUUGUUUAUAUAUGUGCAUUUUCCUAUGGUUAAACAAAUACUUGUUUUUCGAUAUAAGGUCCCGUAGAUAGCCAAAGAUUUUCACGAUCUUAUUCACUUGGGUUCGCAUCUCUUGUUGUAUGGUGAAUGGGGUUGUCGUUGAUACAAAAAUACGAAUGUUAUUAACUAAGCUAUAAACUAAUUACUAUUUAUAUACUAAAUAACGAAAGGAAAACUAUGAAAAUUUUUAAUACAUUUUCUAUUUAUAUAACGCUUGUGGAAUUCUUCUUCAUCUCAGGAAACGUAUAGAAUUCCGUCUAUUAAACUUGGAAUCAGAGCUUGGUUAGAAAUCCCUUGAUAGGCAAUACGAAAUAAGCUCUAAGAAGAAAUUAUUUUACAAAGUUUAAUAUGAACGUGAAAUUUGUAAUGGUGAUGAAUAAUUCGAUUUCUAAGAAUCCCAUGAAUAUCUAUUGUUGCAAGAGGCCUAUGGGGACGAUUCUCUAUCAGGUACGCGUGCUUUUGAGUGUUUAGUGAAGGCCCAGAAAGCAUUGAAGAUGACCAGCGCCUAGGUAGCCUCGUGACCGUUUCAACUCCGAAAACAGUGACCAAAAUCAAUCAAAUUGAUGAUUGCUGAGGCUGAAAACGCCGAUAAAGAAACGGUUGUAAAAAUUUUACACGAGAAAUUACACAUGAAGUUGGUGCUAAAAAAUCUGGUCAAAAGCUCUUGCGUCAACGGGUUUGCUCAAAUUUCCUUGAAAGACUAGAAAAUACUUUGGAAGGGACUCGAUUUGAGUCGAUGGAAGCGGCAAAGCAAAAAACUGCAGAGCUCCUAAAGAUCUUCACCAAAGAAGACUUCCAACACUGAUUAGGUCAAUGGGGAGGGUUGGAUAUUGAAUAAUAUAAUAAAACCCUUUUUCGUAACCAGUCUCGUUAUUUAAUAGCCAGAACUCGUAGUAAUUCAACCAAAAUUUAGAGAAUUUAAUUUGGAACGGAUCUAGAAUGUUCUACAUAUACCAAAAUGAUUCCGGAUCCUUUUGGGGUCCCAAGCAAAUAAAAGGAAAGCAAAUAAAUGCAAUUUAAGAAUUCUAAAGCUUAAGAUUUUUGAGAUGUAUCAAAUACUUUGGUAGUUGGUAAAUUUUCAAUGCCAUUCACAGACGCGAAUAUACAAACAUUCGUCCUUGGUGUUAUGAAUAGAAAUGUCUGUCGUUGAGCGUUUCUAUUGGGAAUCUUUUUAAAUAUUUGUGUUAAUUUUCGAGAUACGUGUAUGGAAUUUGAAAUGAAAUUGGCAUCGUUCCAGUAUUCAAAAAUAUAUAAUAACCGUUUUCACCUAUCUUUUAACAAAUAUCGAGUGACUCGUGCAAAGUAAAUCUAUCACGAAUAAUAUACGAAAAUGCUUCAAUUACGAUACGAUACAGAAUACGGUAGCAGAUAUCAGUAUUUAUUAGCACCGGCUACGAAAUUUUAUUUAGAUUAUACAACUUUCGAUAAAAAAUAUCCUUACGCUCCCGAAAGGUACCGCAAUUGGUAUCCCCAUUAUUGGCCCUCACAUUUAUUAGAAUACAUUCCAACGCAGUACUCUUUACGACAAUUACGCGUUAGAAAUAACUUAUAUAACUGUUAAAAAGUAUUGAGGAUAUAAUCUUGAAAUAUACGUAAAUAUAAAAAAGUCUGUAUCAACAUGAUUAUAAAAAAUAAAUAAUUUUAUUAAGAGGACAA